AGCAGCCGCGGUAAUUCCAGCUCCAAUAGCGUAUAUUAAAGUUGUUGCAGUUAAAAAGCUCGUAGUUGAAUUUCGAGAUCAAAUUGUUGGUCGUGCCUUGGUACGUACUGGCAUUAUUGGUUUCUCCCUUCUGACGAAUCAUGAUGUCAUUAAUUUGGUGUCUUGGGGAAUCAGGACUGUUACUUUGAAAAAAUUAGAGUGUUUAAAGCAGGCUUAAGCUUGAAUACAUUAGCAUGGAAUAAUGAAAUAGGACGUUUGAACCUAUUUUGUGGUUUUUAGGAUCGACGUAAUGAUUAAUAGGGAUAGUUGGGGGCAUUAGUAUUCAAUUGUCAGAGGUGAAAUUCUUGGAUUUAUUGAAGACUAACUACUGCGAAAGCAUUUGCCAAGGAUGUUUUCAUUAAUCAAGAACGAAAGUUAGGGGAUCGAAGACGAUCAGAUACCGUCGUAGUCUUAACCAUAAACUAUGCCGACUAGGGAUCGGAUGAUGUUAAUUUUUAAUUGACUCAUUCGGCGCCUUAAC
rnacentral:rRNA from 1 species